AAACCAUUGCAGAUAACACCCUUCGAUCCUGCCCUAAUUGCACACACAGAUUACUUCCGACAAAACCCCCUCCUUCUCUCUAUCGCCUCUCAAAUCUCAACGCCAUCUCCAUCGCCGUUACAACUGGUGGUCGCCGUCAUCGUCGUCGUCGUCGUCGUCGUCGUCGUCGUCGUCCUAUUCUUCCGUUUAUUCAGUCGCGUAGAACUCCGCAACUUGUUAGGAAUUGCCUAUCAGCUUGCUUCUCCUUUGCAUCAUCAAGUGAAAUCUGAUUGCAUCUAUCUUUCGAAGUGUGUUCGAUUAGGUUUGAUCAAUAUCAUAAUUUUAACACUGUAAGGACUCGGUGCCGAAAUCAUUGGUCUACACUCUACAGCAUUGUUUUCAUCGUUGAAAAUAAUGAUUUUCUCGAAGCCAAAGUUCAUCCCAAACUGGAGGUCGUGUCACUGGAGGUAGUAUUGAUUGAGCUUUCUUCCUGUCUUUCUUCUGCAGCUGCUGCUGGACUUCUGUUGUCCAUCUUGGAUACUCUCUCAGAUAAAGACUUAAUUGAUUUCUCCAUUUGAUGAUUCUGGACCUUCUCCUACAAUUUAUGUUCGAGUGUUCAGUUGUACCAGCGGAACAAACCCCCUCUCUCAGAGUUGGAAGAUAAAGAUUUGAAAUCCAGGGGCAGCUACACACCCCACAUAUUUUUCUCCCCCUCAACACUUGAAGAACGCAAGUCGGCGAUAUAACUUUCCAUGCCAUUUUUCAGUUAAAGGUAAGGGAUUUUAUGUGUUGAAAACGGACGUUUGUGUGCAUAGCAUUAGGUGCAUGAGUAAGAAGCAUAAGAAUGAAUUAUUUUUCUAAUUUUCUUUGCGUGAUCACGGAUUGGUUGGUUGUAGUUUACUGAUUUUUCAGCUUUGAUACAUUUGAGGUGCAUGGUUUGAUGAUCAAACUGCGAAUAUCAUUUGCAUUGUCAUGUUUUUUCAUUUUUUUUGUACAUAGCAAAGUUGUACUAUUUUUAUUGAUUCGUUCAACUAAUACUUUUUCAAACACCCAAGUUUAUUUCAUCAAAGUGAGAAGAUUGAUGUUUCAUGGGACAAGGGGUUGUGUCAUUCAAUUGUAUUGGUUGCUUUCACAAGGCCAAGAAUUGAGGAUGAUGAAGAUGAAGGUGGGGAUGAGGAAGAUGAAGGAGUUGAGAGUGAGGAUGAUGAAUAGGAUUGAAUUACUUUGUGUUAAGUUGUUUAAUUGAAUCUUAUGAUGAUAUAUUGAUAACACUAUUUGAUAUACUAAA